AACCUCCGCAAUGUGAGAAAUCGCGACGGGGGGAUCCCAAGUGCCAUUCUUAACGGGAUGGCUUUUCAUUAGUGUAAAGAGCUUUUGGAAUAAGGGCUGGGCAAGACCGGUGCCAGCCGCCGCGGUAACACCGGCAGCUCUAGUGGUAACAAUUUUUAUUGGGCCUAAAGCGUCCGUAGCCGGUUUAAUAAGUCUCUGGUGAGAUCCUGUAGCUUAACUGUGGGAAUUGCUGGAGAUACUAUUAGACUUGAGACCGGGAGAGGUUAGAGGUACUCCCAGGGUAGAGGUGAAAUUCUGUAAUCCUGGGAGGACCGCCUGUUGCGAAGGCGUCUAACUGGAACGGUUCUGACGGUGAGGGACGAAAGUUAGGGGCGCGAACCGGAUUAGAUACCCGGGUAGUCCUAACUGUAAACGAUGCGGACUUGGUGUUGGGGUGGCUUUGAGCUGUCUCAGUGCCGAAGGGAAGCUGUUAAGUCCGCCGCCUGGGAAGUACGGUCGCAAGACUGAAACUUAAAGGAAUU
rnacentral:rRNA from 1 species